rnacentral:rRNA from 1 species
UGCCAGCCGCCGCGGUAUUACGGAGGGGGUUAGCGUUGUUCGGAAUUACUGGGCGUAAAGCGCGCGUAGGCGGAUUAGUAAGUUAGAGGUGAAAUCCCGGGGCUCAACCCCGGAACUGCCUUUAAUACUGCUAGUCUUGAGUUCGAGAGAGGUGAGUGGAACUCCGAGUGUAGAGGUGAAAUUCGUAGAUAUUCGGAAGAACACCAGUGGCGAAGGCGGCUCACUGGCUCGAUACUGACGCUGAUGUGCGAAAGCGUGGGGAGCAAACAGGAUUAGAUA